rnacentral:lncRNA from 1 species
GCCGUUGGGGAAGGACGCGCGCGUGUCCCUUCCCGAAGUUUAUUACGAAAAUAGUAUCUGUCAUUUUUACAAAGUGCAUCGUGGUGUAUUUUUUGAGUGUGUGACAGGUAUUGGUGAAGUGUUCAUUUAUUUAUAUUGGGAUUUUUUUUGUGUUUCAUCUGAAAAGGAAUUUCUUUAUGACCAUUAAGUGGCUGUGCAGCAGUGUAGUGUUGCGUGGUGAUGGAGUCCUGUGACGUGUAAAUAUGUGCGCAAGAUGAAGCUGUGGAAGAGCCUCAAGAUAUCGAUCGGCAAAACUGACCCCAAGGGCUAUCCGCACGGCCUCCCGCAGUGGGGGCAGGGCUACGAGCUAGAUGUGUUUAAAUCUCAGACCUCGCUGUCGACGGACUCGGGUCUGUGCACGGAGCGAGGCUUGAGGCGGACUCACAUCGAGCUGCUCAAGCCGCCGGGGAAGCGCAUCGGCCUUAAACUGGCAGGUAAAUCUAUACUUAUAAUAAAACUAUCUAUAUCU